GACGAACGCUGGCGGCGUGCUUAACACAUGCAAGUCGAGCGAGGCCCCUCCUUCGGGAGGGUGUCCUAGCGGCGAACGGGUGAGUAACACGUGGGCAACCUGCCCUCAGCUCUGGGAUAACUCCGGGAAACCGGGGCUAAUACCGGAUACGACCUCCACGGGCAUCUGCGGAGGUGGAAAGUUUUUCGGCUGAGGAUGGGCCCGCGGCCUAUCAGCUAGUUGGUGGGGUAGUGGCCCACCAAGGCGACGACGGGUAGCCGGCCUGAGAGGGCGACCGGCCACACUGGGACUGAGACACGGCCCAGACUCCUACGGGAGGCAGCAGUGGGGCAUAUUGCGCAAUGGGCGAAAGCCUGACGCAGCGACGCCGCGUGAGGGACGAAGGCCUUCGGGUUGUAAACCUCUUUCAGCAGGGACGAAGCGAAAGUGACGGUACCUGCAGAAGAAGCACCGGCCAACUACGUG
rnacentral:rRNA from 1 species